rnacentral:rRNA from 1 species
AUUGAACGCUGGCGGUAUGCUUAACACAUGCAAGUCGAACGGUAACAGGCCUUCGGGCGCUGACGAGUGGCGGACGGGUGCGUAACGCGUAGGAAUCUGCCUGGUAGUGGGGGACAACUUGGGGAAACUCAAGCUAAUACCGCAUACGCCCCAUGGGGGAAAGCGGGGGACCUUCGGGCCUCGCGCUAUCAGAUGAGCCUGCGUUGGAUUAGCUAGUUGGUAGGGUAAAGGCCUACCAAGGCGACGAUCCAUAGCUGGUCUGAGAGGACGAUCAGCCACACUGGGACUGAGACACGGCCCAGACUCCUACGGGAGGCAGCAGUGGGGGAAUAUUGGACAAUGGGCGCAAGCCUGAUCCAGCAAUACCGCGUGUGUGAAGAAGGCCUGAGGGUUGUAAAGCACUUUUAAUCGGGAGGAAACCUGUCGGCCAAUACCCGGCAGCUUGACAUUACCGAUAGAAAAAGCACCGGCUAACUCCGUGCCAGCAGCCGCGGUAAUGUAGACGU